GCCCCCAUAGUAUAAUCAA
rnacentral:tRNA from 1 species